rnacentral:lncRNA from 1 species
AAUUUUAAAUUUAUUUAUUUUCCGUUAAUUAUCUCAAAAUAAAAAAUAAAAAUUUGUUUUUAUUAAACAAUAAAAAUUACAUUCGAUAUAAAAUAAUAAUCGGUUUACACUAAACAAAAUUUUGUAAAAAUUAAACCUAAUCUUAAUUAGACCUAAUACAAGACCUAAUCUUCUUGGGCCUGCCUCCUCACCAGCUUCUCCGUCGCCUCCUCGCCACAAGCCCCAUGACCACCACCUCUUAUCUCUUCUCCAUCACCUCGUAGCCGCAAACCCAAUGACCACCACUGCGUAGAUGCCCCCCCCCCUUGCUUCUCGGAAUCCGGUCAACCUGACGGAGCAUACUAACAGUCUCUGUGCGUCGGGUGGGCCUUGAGCGAUGGUUCCCUAAGAAAGAUCCAGCGUCUUGGUGUCUCGUCGGUCAAUAGUGGUUGCCUCCGUUCGAGGACGAUGGGGUUCUAGGCUUUGUCUCCGACGGCGUUGAUUCUUCUCAUGGACCGGAACUGUGGAAGGCUUGUUCUUCCUCGGACUUUGAGCGGCGACUCUGCAAAGCGAGAUACAGAGGUUAGGGUUUCGGGAACCGACGUCCUCUCGAUUUCCGGUGAUUUGAGGCCGCGGGACUAUCCGGUGGUGGCGAAAUCUCUGAGGAUUCUCUUGACAGAGCUUGGCUGGUCUUGGACGCCCCGGUUCGGUGAAGUCACGAAUGUGAUUUGCAGGUGACUGGUGGUGGUGAGAGAAGACGGUGGCGAAUGGGAGAGAUGGUGGACCUUACGCCAUGGAUGAACCAAUGUGCAGAGAGAAAAGAAAGAUGAUGUAUUUUGUUUUAGAUGAAGUGAGAUAGAGAGAAAAGCGUACAGAGUAAGAUAGAUGAGAAAAAAUACAUUGAUUCUUAGCCAUUGAUUUAUGUAUCCAAUGGCCAAAAAUAAUGAUCCGUGAUUUCAAAGAAUCAACCAAUAAGAAAGGAGCACCAAGAUAAUGAGUUUUGGCCUUUAGAUCAUAACUAAUCAAUGGUCCAAGAAAAACAACACAACCUUUAUUUUAUCUAUAGUUGUUUUAUAAAUUGUUUGAACUUAAAAAAAUAGAUAACAUAUUUAACAUUUCAAAUAUAAACUUGCGG